rnacentral:rRNA from 1 species
UGACGACCGGCGCACGGGUGCGUAACGCGUAUAGAACCUACCUUUAACUGAGGGAUAGCCCAGAGAAAUUUGGAUUAAUACCUCAUAGUAUUAUUGAUUGGCAUCGAUUAAUGAUUAAAGAUUUAUUGGUUAGAGAUGGCUAUGCGUCUUAUUAGCUAGUUGGUUAGGUAACGGCUAACCAAGGCAACGAUAAGUAGGGGUCCUGAGAGGGAGAUCCCCCACACUGGUACUGAGACACGGACCAGACUCCUACGGGAGGCAGCAGUGAGGAAUAUUGGACAAUGGAGGCAACUCUGAUCCAGCCAUGCCGCGUGUAGGAAGACUGCCCUAUGGGUUGUAAACUACUUUUAUAGAGGAAGAAACCCCAGUAUGUAUACUGGUCUGACGGUACUCUACGAAUAAGGAUCGGCUAACUCCGUGCCAGCAGCCGCGGUAAUACGGAGGAUCCAAGCGUUAUCCGGAAUCAUUGGGUUUAAAGGGUCCGUAGGCGGGUUUAUAAGUCAGUGGUGAAAGUUUGCGGCUCAACCGUAAAAUUGCCAUUGAUACUGUAGAUCUUGAAUUAUUGUGAAGUGGUUAGAAUGUGUAGUGUAGCGGUGAAAUGCAUAGAUAUUACACAGAAUACCGAUUGCGAAGGCAGAUCACUAACAAUUAAUUGACGCUAAGGGACGAAAGCGUGGGUAGCGAACAGGAUUAGAUACCCUGGUAGUCCACGCUGUAAACGAUGGUUACUAGCUGUUUGAUUUUCGGAUUGAGUGGCUAAGCGAAAGUGAUAAGUAACCCACCUGGGGAGUACGUUCGCAAGAAUGAAACUCAAAGGAAUUGACGGGGCCCGCACAAGCGGUGGAGCAUGUGGUUUAAUUCGAUGAUACGCGAGGAACCUUACCAGGCUUAAAUGUA